GUAGUCAAACCGUUUAAGAACAGUUUGACAACUUACCUGGAGUCUAAUGGGAUAUGGGGCUGUAGUAGGGUAUAGGAGCAGUGGUGCAAUAUGUGUGAAAGGUUCAGUGUGUGGGUGUGUAGUUUGUGAAUGUGUAGCGUGUGUGGGGCAAUGUGUGUAUGGGGGGCAGUAUGUGAAUGUGUAUGGUGUGUGUGUGGGGGAAAUGUGUGUAUGGGGCUAGAGUUCACCCUCGUGAGAGCCGGAGCGUUGUCGUGGUAACUGCGGCAACGCUCUGUGCUCACGCGAGAAGGACCCAGGAGGGUCGAAACGUCGAUUUUUUUAUACUCUGCAUAGAAUAUGUAUUACUUGAUGAUACAGUAAAGUAUAUUUUUUCCACUGAGAAGAAGCCCUAGUGUGCUCCCUUUAUUUUCUAAUGUAUAUUCAACGCGGGAUUGCACCUGGGCAGUUGUGAUUUUGUUGAAUAAGGUAGAGGAGGAGUGCCUUGCUUAUCUAUUUUUAUAUACAUAUAUAUAUAUAUGUAUUAAGGUCGUUUGGCCUGUAAUUGUGGGAGGGGCUUAUGAUUAUACACUUACCUAUUUAAGGAACACCCCUUACCUGGCUCCACACCAUUCGAGGUCAGCGUUUGCAUGACCCUCCAACCACUAUACAUUAUCAACACUUUUCCUUCCUUUCUUUUUCUCUUUUCCUUUCUUUUUCUUACUUCUUUAUUUACAGGCCUACCGUAUUGUCGGUCCUGGCACACCACAACCGACUUGCUCUUUUGUACUAUCCUACGAUUAUACUGGAAUUACUCCUACGGCUAUGUGCUCUUAACACGAAUAUAUGUAUGUAUAUAUAUAUAUAU